UUAUGGCCAUAUCGUGUUGAAACAGGAGUUCCUAUAUGAUCACCAAAGCUAAGCAACAUCCAGCCUGGUCAGUAACUAUUUGGGUGACCACUUGGGAAUACCAGGUGUUGUAA